rnacentral:rRNA from 1 species
GAUGAACGCUAGCUACAUGCUUAACACAUGCAAGUCGAGGGACCGGCGCUCGGGUGAGUAACACGUAUCCAACCUUCCCUUUACUCGGGGAUAGCCUUUCGAAAGAAAGAUUAAUACCCGAUAUAAAGGAUUGGGAUGCGUUCCAUUAGGUUGUUUGUGAGGUAACGGCCCACCAAGCCUUCGAUGGAUAGGGGUUCUGAGAGGAAGGGCCCACACAGGGAAACUGAGACGCGGUACAAACUCCUACGAGAGGCAGCAGGGAGGAAUAUUGGUCAAGGGGCGUGAGCCUGAACCAGCCAAGGAGCGUGAAGGAUGAAGGCUUAUGGGUCGUAAACUUCUUUUAUAGAAGAAUAUGUAUUAUAUGAAUAAGGAUCGACGAACACCGUGCCAGCGGCCGCGGUAAUUC